UUAAGAUCUCUGGUUCCAUGCACAAAAUAAGCAUAGUAUACUAGAAUACGUGGUUGAAUGAAUUGCCCACAGCCACCCAUGAAGAUUAGAAUCUUGGCGUCCUGAGUUGCAAUCUCCUAUUCCAUACUGUUUCCCUUAAAAAAAGAAAAGUCUCCAAAAUCAACUUCUGCAGCUCAGUGACAGCCAUGAAUGCCCAACUGAUGAACUGGGCUCAGUGCCACAUAUGCAUGCUAUCACAUGUAUUUAAAUGGAUCAUGGAUUUCAAACUAUUUUACCAACUACUCACAAUGAGAAAUGCAUAUCAUGACCUAGUGUAUGCAUACUUACAUAGAGGAUUGUAUCAGUCAGAGUCUAACCAGGAAAUUUAGUUCAGGGACUUGUUUGUACUGAUGAUGAUAAGAAAUCACAUAAUGAACUGAGUAGCAACAGUAAGAAAUCAAUUUUCCCUAAGUUGGGGAACCGAGGGAUGAGGAAGAACUAAAAUCUGAAACCCUGGUGUGUGAUGGUGGUGAUGCAACUUUUGCUUGAGUCAAAGGGAAGAAGGAAAUACCUUGACUUUAUUUAUUUUUAUUUUUUUUGUACCGGGGAUCGAACUUGGAACCUUGCGCUUGUGAGGCAGGCGGCAGCACCACUGAGCUAAAAUUUAAGUGACACAUAAAACUCUACACAUUUAUGGGAUACUAUGUGAUACUCUGACAAACUGCAUACAUUUUGUAAUCUUCAAAUCAGGGCUGAAUUCAGCUGGCACAGGAACCUGGGAAGUGCAACCCCCAAAGGUCAGUCUCCUCUUACCUUAUACAGCUGAGCAGAAGAAUGAGGCAGGAUGCUGAGAUCCAACAGAUACAGUAACUAAUAUGAAGUUUCCUGAAACAGUGCUUACUUAUAGAGCUUACUAAGUGCAAUGCCCUCUGAAGUUAGUAUUUUUUAUUCUUUCUUUUAACUUAGACAUGCCUCAUAAUGACUCAUAAUUCAACAAUGAGUGGAAAAAUACUCUUUGGACCAGUGGGAGAUA
rnacentral:lncRNA from 1 species